rnacentral:rRNA from 1 species
UACGGAGGGUGCAAGCGUUAUCCGGAAUCACUGGGCGUAAAGGGUGCGUAGGCGGGUCUUUAAGUCAGGGGUGAAAUCCUGGAGCUCAACUCCAGAACUGCCUUUGAUACUGAGGAUCUUGAGUUCGGGAGAGGUGAGUGGAACUGCGAGUGUAGAGGUGAAAUUCGUAGAUAUUCGCAAGAACACCAGUGGCGAAGGCGGCUCACUGGCCCGAUACUGACGCUGAGGUGCGAAAGCGUGGGGAGCAAACAGG